ensembl:lncRNA
GUUACAUGGUGCUCUGACAAAGAAUGUUCUCAGCUGUGCUGUGGCAUCCUUCUCUUCCCUUGUUAUCCACUCUGACUCUGACUCCCUUCGCUGUUGCCUUCUUUAAGCUUCUGGACUCCACGAAUCCCCACCAAAGUGGCUCCUUAUGACUGCUGCUGCUGCUGCUGCACUGAUAUGGAAAAUUAGAAUUAAAAAAAAAGAGAUGACAGUUCUUUCCCUAUGGCAUUAGCUGGGAGCCAUUAUAUGGGGUUCGGAUCACAUUGUGUGCCCUCCUAGCCAACUGUGUCACCUUAAAGAAGCCACAAUUGCUUUGAGACUCAGAUGCCUGAUCUUUGAAGGGUAUACUGUAUCUUUCUAAGCCUUUGAGACCAGAAAAUAGCAUAAGAAAACAUAAGAAAAUAGCAGAUGUCCAUGUGGGAACCCAGCAGAAUUCUGGUGGUCCGUGCGUCCAGGCCUCGGAAGCAGCAUUGUGGAACGGGAUUUUCAGGAGAAAGGGACAGUGAGAAAGCAAGAAUUAACUGAGAUGGAAGAAAGUGAGAAACAGAAAAUAAAAAGAAUGAAGAGCCUGGUCAAAUGUAGAAAUCAAAAGGAAAGACGGUUUCAUCUACAUGCCAA